GGCCCGCCCGCGCGGGGCUCGGGGCCGCUCCCUCGGCCCGGCCUCCCGCCGCCGGAUUCUCCGCUGGGUGCCGCCACGGGCUUGGGGGCGGCCGUGGCCUGUGUGGGCUGGGUCCCGCGGCCUCACUUCUGCCACCGGGCACUUGGUGGCUGUGUUCGGUGCGAUCUCUUUGAAACUGCACGUGGAAGCAGUCGGGGAAAGGUUGGCCGAGCAGCAGUAAUGAAGAGAAAGUGAUGUGGUGCAAAACCAGUACUUGGAGUGCCUCCUGUGAAGAGGUUGUGGUGUAGGAAAGGUUAACAGCAGUCAUUUGCACUGAGUCUUUUCCCAGGCAAGUUACUUGAAGUUACCUGGACAAAAUGCUGUAAAAAGUACUCAUACAUAACUGUGCUGUCCUUCAGAACAUAUGGAAAAAACUUCUGUCCUUCAAGACUGGUGGCCUUCCAUCUAAAUCGAUCUACUCACAUACAUAAAACAAAAUGCAUACGAUUUCUUCUAGGAUUGGGACCCAAAUGCUGUGCUUUCAACUUGUAGAAUCAUCAUUUUCAGAUCCUGCAAAGAAGCAUCAAGCUCAAAGCAGGGACAGGAGCUGUCAGAGACCAUAUGUGCUACACUACACCUCUCCUUUGGUGCCCCACAAGAGAGAGUGCAUCAGCACAGUCCAGCAGACAUCAGACCUUGUGUCAGUUUUCUGAGGUCAGUGAGAUAGCUGUGGCUUCUAGGGAGUAUCUAGAGCUUUUCACAUAUAUUCAGUGUCACUGCCCUACUAGGAAUGAUCAUAAUAUUGACAAAAGCACUCCUAUGCUGGUAACCAUGACAACUUCCAUUGAACAAAGUUUUUCAUGAAAUAGCAUGUUUUACAAGGCAGAGGAAACAUUUACUUUGAAGUACCACUUUUGUACCCACUGGUGUUCAAAGAGCAAGGACUGAGCCCCUGUGGUAGCAGUAAUAAAUAUUAUAGCAGCUUUUAUGUGUAGACACUUCUGAAGGGAAAAAUGAUCGUUGGGUUUGUUUUUUUUUUCUUCUAUUGCAUCUGGUCCUGACAGUAAAACAUUUUAUUCUGGAAGGCAGUUAUGUUUAAAACACUGCUGGAUCUCCAAGGGAGAUUUUAUUUCUGAAUUGCUUUACCACAUUUUAAAAAAUCCAGUUUUGAAUUACCUGUGACUUGAAUUUAUAAUCCUAAGAUUGAUAAUCAGAUGGGCUUAUUGGGUUUAAUUUUUUAAUUAAAACUCUUCAUUCAGUAUUUAUGGGAUUUGCUAACUGGUCUAUCAAGUAAACAUCAGGAGUGCCUGCUUAAUUCAUAAUCUAAGCUACAGUAAACAUCACAAAGUAGAUCACAGAAAUAAAAUUUAAGUAUUUUUUCCUAGAAGAUAUUUGUGUCUGUUUCCACUUCUGACAUCUACAAACAGAAGUAGAUUUAUGGAUGCAGAGAGAAACGUUAAAGUCUCUUUUGCACUGGCUGAUGCUGCAGGAGAUCCAGUGUCCGCUGGCUGUGUCUUGCUGGGUUUGCAGACUUCCUUUCCCCACCCUCAUUAGACUGAGUCUAUAACCAUUCCUUUUACUGGUGUGGUGGGAGAAGAAAUGUUAAAAUAUCCUAUUGCUCAUGUGUGCAGUAAUCUUGUAUACAUGAUGCCUCUACCUGUGCUGAAGGCAUUAGGAAGCAGUGAUGUCCAGUGAAGCAUUGUGAGUCAGGAACAUCUUGCUUCAAAGGCAUCAUCUCUAGUGAUCAUUGUGGGGAGAGGCAGGUGGGAAAGAUAAAUACUGGUUGAUAUAAAAGCCAGCUUCUUUUAAAUAUUGGCAAGGAAUGAAAGCCUUGUACAGAAGCCACGAAAAGAACUGGGACUUACAAGGAGGAGAAAUAUUCCUCCAAGGUAUGGGCCAGAUACUUAUUUAACAGAUACUGUGAUAACAGAUCUCCUGGAAAAAUAGCUACUUCCACAGGCUAAUAGGUAAAAUAUAUACAGGAUGAGCCUACAAAUUAUUAUGCAAUUAAAGGCAUUUACUCUGCUAAGCAGAAUGGGCUUUUGCAAGACAAAUGGAAAUGAAAUGGAAAACAUUACUUCUAAACUUACUCUUUUUCUCUGUUUGUUGCUGGAUUUUUCCCCAGAGUUGGGUCCACACAUCUCUCUAGCAAAUAUAUCCUUGGCCAAUCUUUAGAAGAGCCGAAAUGGGCAGGAAAAGGAUUCCAACAGCUAUUCCCAAGGCACCUGACAUGUAGCAGCUAAAAGAAAGACAAUAGCACGUGCAAGACACUCUUAAUCCAAAUUCCAGUAAUGGAGUUACAUGAUAGGCUGCAGCCUCUUGCCUCUUAAUUUAUGAAGGAUCAAGUGGUAUUAGAGGUAGUCAGCCAUGCAUCAUAAAGUGCUUGUCACAGCAUGUCAGCAUGUAAAAAAAAAAGCCAGUCCACAGAGAGUGGGGAAUAAAGUUGUCAUCUCUUUAUCUAGUUGUUCAUGGGAAAGCUGGUCAUCAUAUUCUUGUCGGCGAGGGAGGAAUGUUGUUUAUGCUCAAUGAAAUGGUGUGUGACUUUCAUGAAAUGGUUUAGACAUGGAUUCUGGGCAAAAUAGAAAUGCAUGAAAUCAAUGAAACAGUAACCUUCAUUGUCUGAAAACACACUGUUAAGAUUAACGACCCUCUUCCUUAUUGUCUAUCUGCUCACCAAAUGGCACUAAUAAGGAAAAUGUUAAAUCUAAUUUUGAAUGCAUACAUCUUUUAUACUCUCACAUAUAUGUGUGCACUUUGGCAUUUAUAGGACUAUUUUCUGUGGCCUAUUACUGCACGGUGUUUUAUAGAUCUGCAUUGUAUUAUUUGGAUAUGCAUUACAGACAGUACUCCAUAUUUGCAAAAUCUUUUAAAUAGCUUCUUUUUGUCUAUUUUCCAUGAUAAUACCGUAGCUGUGAUACAAAACCCCUUAAGAAAUACCUGAGAUCCAAAAAAAUAAAUAAAAAUAAA